UACGGGGGGGGGUAAGCGUUGUUCGGAAUUACUGGGCGUAAAGGGCUCGUAGGCGGCCAACUAAGUCAGACGUGAAAUCCCUCAGCUUAACUGGGGAACUGCGUCUGAUACUGGAUGGCUUGGAUUCGGGAGAGGAAUGCGGAAUUCCAGGUGUAGCGGUGAAAUGCGUAGAGAUGUGGAGGAACACCAGUGGCGAAGGCGACUCUUUGGCCUGUAACUGACGCUGAGGCGCGAAAGCGUGGGGGAGCAAACAGG
rnacentral:rRNA from 1 species